rnacentral:rRNA from 1 species
CCUACGGGAGGCAGCAGUGGGGAAUAUUGGACAAUGGGCGAAAGCCUGAUCCAGCAAUGCCGCGUGAGUGAUGAAGGCCUUAGGGUUGUAAAGCUCUUUUACCAGGGAUGAUAAUGACAGUACCUGGAGAAUAAGCUCCGGCUAACUCCGUGCCAGCAGCCGCGGUAAUACGGAGGGAGCUAGCGUUGUUCGGAAUUACUGGGCGUAAAGCGUACGUAGGCGGUUAUUCAAGUCAGAGGUGAAAGCCUGGAGCUCAACUCCAGAACUGCCUUUGAAACUAGAUAGCUAGAAUCUUGGAGAGGUGAGUGGAAUUCCGAGUGUAGAGGUGAAAUUCGUAGAUAUUCGGAAGAACACCAGUGGCGAAGGCGACUCACUGGACAAGUAUUGACGCUGAGGUACGAAAGCGUGGGGAGCAAACAGGAUUAGAUACCCUGGUAGUCCACGACGUAACGAUAGAUAACUAGACUGUCGGUCGUCUACGAGCUGUAGUGGCGCGAGACUACGAC